rnacentral:lncRNA from 1 species
GAAGUUGUAGCAACAGUCAGUCAUAACACAGAAAAGACAACGUUUGAUAUAAGCUGUAAGUUACUAAAAUUAUAUCAACAAAUACUUAAAUGAUACAUAUAUCAAACACCCUGUAAAUAAUUCAUAUUUUCAUUUAAUGAUGCCUCUUGAAUUUACGUUAAAGGUACACACAAUUUGACUAUAUAUUGGUCGUCAUAUUGUAUUUUUUCAUAUUCGUAUAUAUCUUUUCUAUUUAAUUUUUUUUACAAUUUAUUAUAUAACUGGAAUAAGAUAUCGGUUCAUGAUACAUUUGUCUAUGCUGGAAAUGUCGUUACAAAAAAAAAACUAGCAAAAUAAUUCAAUCUAACAAAAACAGGCUGCAACAGAAAAUAAAAAAAAUAACGAAGAUAUAUAUAGUGCUAUUUCUUUUAUAUUUUUACUGGCUUCAGCUGAUAAGAAACUCUGAUUUCUAUAAUUCAAUCACAACGUUUGUCAUUGUUUCAAUUUCAUUCCAUUAAAAAAGCAAAACAUAUUAAAAUGAAAACGAAUAUUCAAAGUUGUAAGUCGACAAUAAUGUCAUGGCAAAACAUUUUAUAUCGAUAAAGAAAAAAACGGUAUACAAAAUCGUCAUAAAAAACUAAAGACUGGGUUACACGAAUCCACCGAACACCAGGGUUGUUCGCAAGGUUAGCAUAUUCACAUGAACGUUAAUUCUUCACUCCAAGUGUUUGCGUCCCUUAUAUAUCUUGAGGUAAAAUCUGUGUCACCGCUGCAGAAUUAAUAAUCCAGCUCAAAUCGAUAAAAAUGUUUUGCUAUUUUGUUUUUAUCUAUAAAUCUAUCGUUAAAUUUAAAGUUUUAUUCGUAAAGAAUAUGAUACAUUAAUUCAUAAAGCUGGCUGUAUUUGUGUUCUGUCGUAAGCUAAUUUUUGGUGUUCGUUGUUAUUCUGUGGUUUACAUAUUGAAAUGCUCUAUUAUUUUAUUUAUUUAUGUAGUUCACUGUCCUGAUUCUAUACUGUAUUUCUGAAUUUUUAACAUUGCAAUAAAAUCGGGAGAUUUGACUGGACAUAAAACCAGUUCUUACCACAAUUGUUUCCGUUAAGUGUCCUGUGUCAAGUCAAGAAUUUAGCAGUUGUUGCCAUAAUAUCCGUUUAUAUUUAUAUCACCUCACUCAAAGAUGACUUUUUGGAUAUUAUUUUCAUAAUGUCUAGUGUUGUAAAGCUCUUCAGUUGUCUCGGUUCUUAAAAAAAUCUUGGUUUUUACUUAUUCAGCUUGGAGCGUUCCUGGUAAAUGUGAAUCCUGAAAUCUGCACUAGACUCAUGGAGAAUAAGAUAAAUAUUAAAGAGAAAAUUUAGCAACCAACUACUUAUACCAUUUGACAUUUAAGAAACUGUGUAAUGCUAUUGGAAUUUGAUUAUAGAUUCAACUAUUGCAUUUUUCUAUUAUCACUCAUACAUAGCUCGAGCCUGCUCAUAUUCUAUUUGGAGUUCAUACCCAUGUUGUCCAUUACAGAUACAAUGUAUUGAGCAUGCAAACAUAUAUAUUCAACUUCAUCCUACUUUUAUAUAAUCAGUUUUAUUUAUUGUUUUGUUUAACCCACCAGAUCAAUCAAUAAAAAACACUUAAAAAUAUUAAUCAUAAUUAGUCUUGUAAAAUUGAUGACAAAAUCUUCCAUGUUAUAAUUGUAAACAUUGAAAUAACAUUCAGAAAUGUAAAAUCACAAAAAAAACUGAACUCCGAGGAAAAUUCAAAACGGAAAGUCCUAAGUUCAAAUGGCAAAAACACAUCAAACGAAUUUACAACUGUCAUAUUCCUGACUUGGUACAUGCAUUUUCAAAUGUAGAAAAUGGUGGAUUGAACCUGGUUUUAUAGCGUUAAACCUCUCACGAAGGUUAGAAUGUAUAACAAAUUUAUUUGAUUCUGCUUACUUUUCACUUCUUCCAUUAUUUUCUUUCAGAUCAGUUGGAAACAUCCGCAAUUGAAAAGUUUUUGAUAUUAAUAUGCGUAUUAAUGUGGUCGAAACAUGUACAACUGCACAAUGAAGGUCAAGAAGAUUAUUGUUGCCGGAGCAUUUUGAGGCAGUUAACACUAUGCUUGAUAUCAUGCAUCCCUACGUAAUUACAACAUAAUGUUUAUGAUUACAUACGUUCUCUUACCUACUAUCAUUUGCUUUUUUUGAAGGUUUCGUAGGUUAAAAAAAGUGUUUUGUUUUUUUUUCCCGUCCAUGGCUUUAUUUUUUAGUGUUGAGAGUUACGAGCAGCAUAUGCAAUUGAAUGAACUACACACAAUAGUUUUAAGAAAAUAAUUCAGAAAUUAUUUAGCAGAAAAAUACUAUCCUCGACUGCAUGUGGGAUUUCCAUUUCCCAUCUCAUUCGGUUUUUCAAGAGCAUGCAGCUGCUACUCUGACUUUGUGAAACAUCACUUGUGUCGUAGCAGGAUGAGAACCAGGAACCAUGUCAAAGAAC